CACCGCGGUUAAACGGGAGACCCAAGUUGAUAGACAGCGGCGUAAAGCGUGGUUAAGACGUCGAUCCAAUAGGGUUAAAUAGCCUCUAAGCAGUCAAAUGCUAUCGAAACCAUAAAACUCACUCACGAAAGUAACCCUAACAUCUCUGACUCCACGAAAGCUAUAACC
rnacentral:rRNA from 1 species